GGUAUGUGGCUCAGCGGUAGAGCACUCGCCUAGCAUGUGUGAGGCACUGGGUUCAAUCCUCUGUACCA
rnacentral:tRNA from 1 species